UGUGCCAGCCGCCGCGGUAAUACGUAGGGCGCAAGCGUUGUCCGGAAUUAUUGGGCGUAAAGAGCUCGUAGGCGGCUUGUCGCGUCGGUUGUGAAAGCCCGGGGCUUAACCCCGGGUCUGCAGUCGAUACGGGCAGGCUAGAGUUCGGUAGGGGAGAUCGGAAUUCCUGGUGUAGCGGUGAAAUGCGCAGAUAUCAGGAGGAACACCGGUGGCGAAGGCGGAUCUCUGGGCCGAUACUGACGCUGAGGAGCGAAAGCGUGGGGAGCGAACAGGAUUAG
rnacentral:rRNA from 1 species